UACGUAGGGUGCAAGCGUUGUCCGGAAUUAUUGGGCGUAAAGAGCUUGUAGGCGGUUUGUCGCGUCUGCUGUGAAAUUUCGGGGCUCAACCCCGAACUUGCAGUGGGUACGGGCAGACUAGAGUGUGGUAGGGGAGACUGGAAGUUCCUGGUGUAGCGGUGAAAUGCGCAGAUAUCAGGAGGGAACACCGAUGGCGAAGGCAGGUCUCUGGGCCACUACUGACGCUGAGAAGCGAAAGCAUGGGGAGCGAACAGG
rnacentral:rRNA from 1 species